UAUGGCAGAUUAGUGCAAUGAAUUUAAGCUUCAUAAAUAAAGAGAAUUCUUUUAUUAGAAUA
rnacentral:tRNA from 1 species